rnacentral:lncRNA from 1 species
AAUAUAAGAACCUAUUUUUUAAUUUAGAAAUAAGAUGGAAAAAAAUAUAAAAAAUUCUUGAUCUAAUUUCUAUAUUUUUUAACCAUUAUUAGAAGAUUUAUUUUGAAUUAUUUUUGAAAGCAAAGGUGGAGGUGAUAAAUUGAUUAAGAAAUUGGAACAAGGCUUCAUUAAUACAAAGGACUUACAAAAGAGAUGUUUAGAGAAGUUUUCUUGGAAUUGAAGUGGUUAUGUAAUACAAUUGAUGAAUUUUAAAAUAGAAUAAGAUUAUAUAUAGAAAUUGAAUUCUUAAGAUGCAACCAAUUAAUUUUGUGUAAUUUAGAAGAAAUUGAGCAAGAUUAAAAAGAAUUAUAUGAAAGAUUUUGCAAUGAAGCAAAGAAAUUAAGCCAUUAU